rnacentral:rRNA from 1 species
UUACGGGAGGCAGCAGUGGGGAAUUUUGGACAAUGGGCGCAAGCCUGAUCCAGCCAUGCCGCGUGCGGGAAGAAGGCCUUCGGGUUGUAAACCGCUUUUGGCAGGAACGAAACGGCGCGAGCCAAUACCUCGCGCUAAUGACGGUACCUGCAGAAUAAGCACCGGCUAACUACGUGCCAGCAGCCGCGGUAAUACGUAGGGUGCAAGCGUUAAUCGGAAUUACUGGGCGUAAAGCGUGCGCAGGCGGCUUUGCAAGACAGGUGUGAAAUCCCCGGGCCUAACCUGGGAACUGCAUUUGUGACUGCAUAGCUAGAGUCUGUCAGAGGGGGGUGGAAUUCCACGUGUAGCAGUGAAAUGCGUAGAGAUGUGGAAGAACACCGAUGGCGAAGGCAGCCCCCUGGGAUAAGACUGACGCUCAUGCACGAAAGCGUGGGGAGCAAACAGGAUUAGAUACCCUGGUAGC